UAGCCUUGACAUAUCAUGGGAUUCGACAGAUAUGUUGAAGUGCCUUCAGGAGCCAUAAUAC
rnacentral:rRNA from 1 species